rnacentral:rRNA from 1 species
UACGGAGGGUGCAAGCGUUAAUCGGAAUUACUGGGCGUAAAGCGUGCGCAGGCGGUUUGUUAAGUCUGUUGUGAAAUCCCCGAGCUCAACUUGGGAAUUGCAAUGGAUGCUGGCAGGCUGGAGUAUGGUAGAGGAAGGUGGAAUUCCCGGUGUAGCAGUGAAAUGCGUAGAGAUCGGGAGGAACAUCAGUGGCGAAGGCGACUACCUGGCCUGUUCUUGACGCUGAGGCGCGAAAGCUAGGGGAGCAAACGGG